UUUCCGUAGGUGACCUGCGGAAGGAUCAUUCAUAAUAAGUGUUUUAUGGCACUUUUUUAAAUCCAUAUCCACCUUGUGUGCAAUGUCAGGGUUGAUUUUUCUCUCGAGAGGAUCAGCCCCAAACAUCAACUAUAUCUCAACUCUUUGUCUGAAAAAUAUUAUGAAUAAAACAAUUCAAAAUACAACUUUCAACAACGGAUCUCUUGGCUCUC
rnacentral:misc_RNA from 1 species